CUUGGUUUGACUGCUACAGCAGAAAGAGUGCAGGAUGAGGUACGCUUGAGGCUGUUUCUUGACAGCAUAGGGUUUUCAGACCUAAGUGCCAAGAAAAUUAAGAAAUGGAUGCCUGAGGAUCGUAGGCAAUUUGAAAUUAUUCAAGAGAGUUACUUAAGAGAAAAGGAGAUGGAAGAGGAAAUCUUAAUGCAGAGACGUGAAGAGGAGGGCAGAGGUAAAGAAAGAAGGAAGG
rnacentral:misc_RNA from 1 species